GGAAAUCUCACCAGGCCCGGACACUGGAAGGAUUGACAGAUUGAUAGCUCUUUCUUGUUAGCAAUAACAGGUCUGUGAUGCCCGUUCUUAGUUGGUGGAGUGAUUUGUCUGGUUAAUUCCGUUAACGAACGAGACCUUAACCUGCUAACUAGUUUAUAUUCUCACAGAGUAUAAUACUUCUUAGAGGGACUAUAUAUGUUAAGUAUAUGGAAGUUUGAGGCAAUAA
rnacentral:rRNA from 1 species